CAGUAGCCACGGGAAUACGGAGGGAGCUAGCGUUGUUCGGAAUUACUGGGCGUAAAGCGCACGUAGGCGGUUAUUCAAGUCAGAGGUGAAAGCCCGGGGCUCAACCCCGGAACUGCCUUUGAAACUAGAUGACUAGAAUCUUGGAGAGGUCAGUGGAAUUCCGAGUGUAGAGGUGAAAUUCGUAGAUAUUCGGAAGAACACCAGUGGCGAAGGCGACUGACUGGACAAGUAUUGACGCUGAGGUGCGAAAGCGUGGGGAGCAAACAGGAUUAGAUACCCCCGUAGUCCCUGUCUCUUAUAC
rnacentral:rRNA from 1 species